rnacentral:lncRNA from 1 species
CUUCAAGAAAAGCAGGUUCUCAGGGCCUGGGGCCGAGAGAAACCCAGAGAACAGGACAGCAAAGGCCCUCAUCCUUUUUGGUUCUCCUUCAGCAGCAAAGACAGAACCCAAACUAACAUCUCAAUAAAUCAUCCUACCCUUCAUGUACCAGCCAGUGAGCAUUCAGCACCAUUUACUUAUCUUUUAGCUGUUGGAAAAAAGACACAAAUGUGAAGAUAACCGUAAAGAUUGCAAAGGUCUUUCUUACUGAAAUCACAGAGUUUGAGAGGUUCUUCUCUCCAGUCCCAGGAUAACGAGAUAGCAUUCGCACACUUAAGGGGAUUCUUCCCUCUUCACAGCGCUCUUUUGUUCCACAAAAGAGCCCAGCUCUCAGCUUGGGGGAGGCUGAUGAAGUCCUGCUGCCGCCUGCCAAACUCAGCACCCACCAGCGCAGGCGGCCAGACACUACACUACGACAAGAGAGACAGAGACAGACACACCGAGAGGCAGACACGCUGGCGGAAAGGGAGAAGUGAGCGUAGAAGCCACAGACACACAGCGGUACACAGAGACCCAGAAAAGACACAGAAGGACAGAGAGACAGAGAAGGAACCACUAAAAAGAAAACUGCGAGUUAGAACACACCAGUGCUGAACUGCAAAUGAAAGGUUCUGUCUAUCAUUCCCCAAACUUAACUGAUUUUGCAUUAAAGCAGCAGCUGUACCGCUUAGGCAUCUGGGGAAAAGAUAAUUUCAUUUAAUAGGCGAUGUUAUUGCCAACCUGCUUGGAGGCUCAGCUACUUAAAGAAGAGACACGUCUGCUCUCCCCGCCUGCCCGCAUCCCCCCACGCUGCUCCACAAGCACUCGGGGUCUGAAUUGGCUCUCAUAGCCCUUCCAUGUCAAAUUAAAAGCUACCCCAGCCUCUCCUUUUCUGGCCUGUCUGGCAAAUGCCUCUUGGUUUGCAGGUAUGUUUUAAUGAAUAGACCUGCAGCUCUAUGUGAGCAAUGGGCAGCUUCUUGAAAGAUCUUUAUAAAUUAAAUUGUAAUAAAUUAUAUCAUAUGAG